GUAGGGUGCAAGCGUUGUCCGGAAUUACUGGGUGUAAAGGGAGCGCAGGCGGACCGGCAAGUUGGAAGUGAAAACUAUGGGCUCAACCCAUAAAUUGCUUUCAAAACUGCUGGCCUUGAGUGUCGGAGAGGUAAGUGGAAUUCCCAGUGUAGCGGUGAAAUGCGUAGAUAUUGGGAGGAACACCAGUGGCGAAGGCGGCUUACUGGACGAUGACUGACGUUGAGGCUCGAAAGCGUGGGGAGCAAACAGGAUUAGAUACCCUGGUAGUCCACGCCGUAAACGAUGACUACUAGGUGUCGGGGAGCAAAGCUCUUCGGUGCCGCAGCAAACGCAAUAAGUAGUCCACCUGGGGAGU
rnacentral:rRNA from 1 species